rnacentral:rRNA from 1 species
CCUACGGGAGGCAGCAGUGGGGAAUAUUGGACAAUGGGGGGAACCCUGAUCCAGCCAUGCCGCGUGUGUGAAGAAGGCCCUCGGGUUGUAAAGCACUUUCAGUGAGGAAGAACGCCUGGUGGUUAAUACCCAUCAGGAAAGACAUCACUCACAGAAGAAGCACCGGCUAACUCCGUGCCAGCAGCCGCGGUAAUACGGAGGGUGCGAGCGUUAAUCGGAAUUACUGGGCGUAAAGCGCGCGUAGGUGGCUUGAUAAGCCGGUUGUGAAAGCCCCGGGCUCAACCUGGGAACGGCAUCCGGAACUGUCAAGCUAGAGUGCAGGAGAGGAAGGUAGAAUUCCCAGUGUAGCGGUGAAAUGCGUAGAGAUCGGGAGGAAUACCAGUGGCGAAGGCGGCCUUCUGGACUGACACUGACACUGAGGUGCGAAAGCGUGGGUAGCAAACAGGAUUAGAUACCCCGGUAGUC